AGUGAACGCUGGCGGUAGGCCUAACACAUGCAAGUCGAACGGCAGCACAGUAAGAGCUUGCUCUUACGGGUGGCGAGUGGCGGACGGGUGAGGAAUACAUCGGAAUCUACUUUUUCGUGGGGGAUAACGUAGGGAAACUUACGCUAAUACCGCAUACGACCUACGGGGGAAAGCAGGGGAUCUUCGGACCUUGCGCGAUUGAAUGAGCCGAUGUCGGAUUAGCUAGUUGGCGGGGUAAAGGCCCACCCAGGCGACGAUCCGUAGGUGGUCUGAGAGGAUGGUUAGCCACCUUGGCACUGAGACAGGGUCCAGACUCCUACGGUAGGCAGCAGUGGGGAAUAUUGGACAAUGGGCGCAAGCCUGAUCCAGCCAUACCGCGUGGGUGAAGAAGGCCUUCGGGUUGUAAAGCCCUUUUGUUGGGAAAGAAAAGCAGCAGUUUAAUACCCCGCUGUUCUGACGGUACCCAAAGAAUAAGCACCGGCUAACUUCGUG
rnacentral:rRNA from 1 species